GCGGGGCCGCCGUGUUCCUGGCGGCGGCGGCGGCGGGCUCGGCCCUGCUGGCCUGGAAUCUGGCAGCCUCGGCCUCCCGGGGGCCUCGCUGCCCGGAGCCGGGGGCCAACGCCACGGCGCCGCCCGGGGCCCCGGUGCCCGAGGUCGAGGAGCUGCGGCGGCGGCUGGCGGAGGCUGCGCAGCGCGAGGAGGCCCUGGCCAGGCAGCUGGACCAGGCCGAGGGCGGCCGUCGGGAGCUGCAGGAGGCGCUGAGGGCCUGUGAGGGCCGCCAGAGCCUGCUUCAGACGCAACUGAUGACACUGAAGACUGAGAUGGACGAGGCCAAGGCACAGGGGACCCAGAUGGGGGUCGAGAACGGGGAGCUGACAGAAGCCCUGCUGCGCUGGGAGGCGGCGGCCACGGAGUCUGCGCGGCAGCUGGACGAGGCGCAGCGGCG
rnacentral:lncRNA from 1 species